AGUGAACGCUGGCGGUAGGCCUAACACAUGCAAGUCGAACGGCAGCACAGUAAGAGCUUGCUCUUACGGGUGGCGAGUGGCGGACGGGUGAGGAAUACAUCGGCAUCUACUUUUUCUUGGGGGAUAACGGAGGGAAACUUACGCUAAUACCGCAUACGACCUACGGGUGAAAGCAGUGGAUCUUCGGACCUUUCGCGAUUGAAUGAGCCGAUGUCGGAUUAGCUAGUUGGCGGGGUAAAGGCCCACCAAGGCGACGAUCCGUAGCUGGUCUGAGAGGAUGAUCAGCCACACUGGAACUGAGACACGGUCCAGACUCCUACGGGAGGCAGCAGUGGGGAAUAUUGGGCAAUGGGCGCAAGCCUGAUCCAGCCAUACCGCGUGGGUGAAGAAGGCCUUCGGGUUGUAAAGCCCUUUUGUUGGGAAGGAAAAGCAGCAGGUUAAUACCCCGCUGUUCUGACGGUACCCAAAGAAUAAGCACCGGCUAACUUCGUG
rnacentral:rRNA from 1 species